UACGUAGGGGGCGAGCGUUAUCCGGAUUCACUGGGUUUAAAGGGUGCGUAGGCGGACGCUUAAGUCAGCGGUAAAAUUGCGGGGCUCAACCUCGUCGAGCCGUUGAAACUGGGUGCCUUGAGUGGGCGAGAAGUACGCGGAAUGCGUGGUGUAGCGGUGAAAUGCAUAGAUAUCACGCAGAACUCCGAUUGCGAAGGCAGCGUACCGGCGCCCAACUGACGCUGAAGCACGAAGGCGUGGGUAUCGAACAGG
rnacentral:rRNA from 1 species